GAUGAAGAACGCAGCGAAACGCGAUAAGUAAUGUGAAUUGCAGAAUUCAGUGAAUCAUCGAAUCUUUGAACGCACAUUGCGCCCGCCAGUAUUCUGGCGGGCAUGUCUGUUCGAGCGUCAUUACAACCCUCAGGCCCCCGGGCCUGGCGUUGGGGAUCGGCGGAGCCCCCCGUGGGCACACGCCGUCCCCCAAAUGCAGUGGCGGUCCCGCCGCAGCUUCCAUCGCGUAGUAGCUAACACCUCGCGACUGGAGAGCGGCGCGGCCACGCCGUAAAACACCCAACUCUUCUGAAGUUGACCUCGAAUCAGGUAGGAAUACCCGCUGAACUUAAGCAUAUCAAUAAGCGGAGGA
rnacentral:misc_RNA from 1 species